ACGAACGCUGGCGGCGUGCUUAACACAUGCAAGUCGAACGGAAAGGCCCUGCUUUUGUGGGGUGCUCGAGUGGCGAACGGGUGAGUAACACGUGAGUAACCUGCCCUUGACUUUGGGAUAACUUCAGGAAACUGGGGCUAAUACCGGAUAGGAGCUCCUGCUGCAUGGUGGGGGUUGGAAAGUUUCGGCGGUUGGGGAUGGACUCGCGGCUUAUGAGCUUGUUGGUGGGGUAGUGGCUUACCAAGGCUUUGACGGGUAGCCGGCCUGAGAGGGUGACCGGCCACAUUGGGACUGAGAUACGGCCCAGACUCCUACGGGAGGCAGCAGUGGGGAAUAUUGCACAAUGGGCGGAAGCCUGAUGCAGCAACGCCGCGUGCGGGAUGACGGCCUUCGGGUUGUAAACCGCUUUCGCCUGUGACGAAGCGUGAGUGACGGUAAUGGGUAAAGAAGCACCGGCUAACUACGUG
rnacentral:rRNA from 1 species